rnacentral:rRNA from 1 species
GUCUUAUUGAUUAUAAUUUUAAGUCUAAUCUGCCCAAUGAGUAAUUAAAUGGCUGCAGUAUUUUAACUGUACAAAGGUAGCAUAAUAAUUAGUUUCUUAAUUAGGAACUGGAAUGAAUGAUUGGACGAAAUAGUGACUGUCUUAGUUUAAAUUUUAGAAUUUUAUUUUUGAGUUAAAAAGCUUAAAUUUUUUUAAAAGACGAGAAGACCCUAUAGAAUUUUAUAUUAUUUGAAUAUUUUGUUAUUAGGAUUUUAAUAUAGAAUUUUUUAAUUAGUAUUUAGUUGGGGUGAUUGAAAAAUUUAAUGAACUUUUUUUUAUUAUUAACAUUAAUAUAUGAUUAUAUGAUCCAGUUUUUCUGAUUAUAAGAUUAAAUUACCUUAGGGAUAACAGCGUAAUUUUUUUAGAGAGUUCUAAUCGAUAAAAGAGAUUGCGACCUCGAUGUUGGAUUAAAGUUUAUUUUUAAUGUAGGAGUUAAAAUAUUAGGUCUGUUCGACCUUUAAAAUUUUACAUGAUCUGAGUUUAAACCGGUGUGAGCCAGGUUGGAUUCUAUCUUUAAUUAAAUUAAAUAUUUUAGUACGAAAGGACCAAGUAUUUAUUAUAAUAAUUUUAUUAGAA